UGAAACCGUUUAGGGGUAAACCUGAGAAACCCGAAAGGUCGAAGGGAGAAAUUCAACGCGUUUCGCGGACGACGGCGUUCGUUUCGGCGACGGAAACUGUCGGUGUUUCGGCAUCGCGUUUCCGCGCGUUUCGUUCGUUCGAAUCGAUCGCGAACGUGUGCACUUUUCUCCUGGUAGGACGUCGCGAUCCGUUGGGUGUCGAUCUACGAUCCGCGGUGGAGCCCGUUGGCGGCGUUUCGGCGCUCGUCGACGGACCCGCGUGAUCCGAUCGACUCGCUCGACGGUAUGCGAACGGUCGGAGGCCGCUUUCACGAGCGUUCGACCGAUGGCAAGCGCGCCGAAUUCGUUGGCGAUCGGACCCGGUGCCGAUUCCGACAUUCGGUGACUGUUGGCCGUCGUGUUCUCGAACAGACCUCUAUCCAGACCGAUCUGCGACGCUAUAGCUUUGGGUAAUUUCAGGACCCGUCUUGAAACACGGACCAAGGAGUCUAGCAUGUACGCGAGUCAUUGGGAAUCGAUAAACCUAAAGGCGCAAUGAAAGUGAAGAUCUUCCUCGCGAAGAUCGAGGGAAGAGGGUCGAUUCUUAAUCGAUCGACUCGCAUUCCCGGGGCGUCUCGUUCUCAUCGCGAGAUGAGGCGCACCACGAGCGUACACGCUGGGACCCGAAAGAUGGUGAACUAUGCCUGGUCAGGACGAA
rnacentral:rRNA from 1 species